GUGGGGAAUUUUGGACAAUGGGCGCAAGCCUGAUCCAGCAAUGCCGCGUGCAGGAAGAAGGCCUUCGGGUUGUAAACUGCUUUUGUACGGAACGAAAAGGCUCUGGUUAAUACCUGGGGCUCAUGACGGUACCGUAAGAAUAAGCACCGGCUAACUACGUGCCAGCAGCCGCGGUAAUACGUAGGGUGCAAGCGUUAAUCGGAAUUACUGGGCGUAAAGCGUGCGCAGGCGGUUUUGUAAGACAGAGGUGAAAUCCCCGGGCUCAACCUGGGAAUUGCCUUUGUGACUGCAAGGCUGGAGUGUGGCAGAGGGGGAUGGAAUUCCGCGUGUAGCAGUGAAAUGCGUAGAUAUGCGGAGGAACACCGAUGGCGAAGGCAAUCCCCUGGGCCUGCACUGACGCUCAUGCACGAAAGCGUGGGGAGCAAACAGGAUUAGAAACCCUGGUAGUCC
rnacentral:rRNA from 1 species